CACAUCGCCACAGUCUUGACAGUGUUGGAAACCCCAAAGGAAGAUAACCUAUCAGCAUCAUCGGAUUUUAUUGAAUGUGCCAAGUUGGGAUGCAAGAACCUGUCAAACCACAUCCAACAGUACUAAGACACUAACCAUGGGAAUGAAGAAUGCUUUCUAGUUUGCAUAAAGUAGUUGCUCAGGAAAACACCAUCAUUACACAAG
rnacentral:lncRNA from 1 species